rfam:Xenopus laevis strain J chromosome 4L, whole genome shotgun sequence.
GGCCUUGUGGCGCAAUGGUAGCCCGUCUGACUCCAGAUCAGAAGGUUGCGUAUUCAAAUCACGUCAAAGUCA